UUUCUCUUGAAUCAUCUCCAGAACAUGACAAAUUCAAGGUGCCCAAAAAACAAACUGUAUUUUAAACAUGCAUAAAGACAAAGUGCUUCAGACAUGAAACCCAUAUACCCGUGGCUAGUACAUGAACUGAAAUCAGACACAUUCCCAAUUUAUGAUCCUCCCCCUGGGUAAAGCCCACGGGAUGCUGACUGGACAUUGAAGGUGUUCACCUGACCCUGGGACGCUGCAGUCAUCAUGACUAUAAAGCAGUUGCCAAGCAUCCAGAUUUUGAUCCCAUGACCAUGGGGAUGCUGCAACGGAUGUAAGUGUUAAAAAUAGUCAUUAGUCCCUUUUUUUUCAAUGCCCCUGUAACUUUGAACGAUCACUGAAUGAACUGUUGUGAAUCAAGGACUACCUAUAUUAUUCCAUAAAAUGUAGAACAAAAGCUCAUCAAACACCCUGCCCAAUCUGCUAUAAUAUCUGUGAAUUGCUGCUUCUGUGGGAAAUAGCAACAGACAAUAGUGCAACAGUGUAAAAAGGAUUAGCUAUAUACACUGCUAUAUUAAAAUGAGUUUGAAUAAAUUACCCCCUCUCUACACACUGCCUAUGUAAGCGCCUGAAAAGUCCUGAAUAUCAAGGGAACAGGUGGUGCCUCUGCAGAUCUGUACAAAAUUAUGAUAUUCCUUAAAGACUGAGAUUAGUGCUAGGGGUAAUGAGUCAAUGGGAGAUCAAUAUCAGAAGCUACAGAUUAGCUGUUGAAGCUCCUGAUGAAGCAGAACUGAAUCAAAUGUUCUGAAAUAACUGUGGUUUUAUAUAUUUCAUUAGAAGACCCCUGCAUGCAUCUUCCAUUAGCAUUUAAAGCAAUUGCCAGGCACUUUACAUUGGGUCUUUUUUUUGGUCUUUUCCAUUGUGAAGAGAUGUGAAGGACAUACGACUUAGAUGCCUUCUCCACUAUCUGUCCAUAAUCAUUAUCCCAAAUGGAUAAAUUAUCAGAGCGAAAUGGCAACAAGGACCUCUUUUGAAUUAGUGGACAUACUAAUGUGUGGACAAAUCUCUGAGAAAGAAAUAAAUGCCAGUAACAUGUUCGCUUUCCCUUUGCCCCUUUCCCUACAUUCACACAUACUGACAAUGGAAAAGAGACUAAAGAAGCAGCAUCUGAAAAAAGUCCUCUGUCUUGAGUCAAGCUCCAUUUUGGAUAACUGGCAACAGUAUAGAACUGAUUUGCCAUUGCCCUCUUUCAUAUUUUCUUAUCUUCCUACCGUAGCUUCAUCUGCAACCCUAAGAUUCCCUGGUGUUCCCCAUCCAAGUAGUAACCAAGCCAACCUUGUUUAGCUUUGGGUCCACUAGCUGUUGCCACCAACUACAGGUCAAUAGUACUGUGAAAAUAGUCACAUUCAUCCUUUAGGGCCAUAGUCUACUUCAUGUGACGCACAGCUUAUAGUCCUAUUAAUUUUAAGGUGCCACAACACUCUCUAUAUUUUUGCCGCAAAUGUUAAGGCAGGCAGCCAUUAGGAAACUCCUAACGGACUUAUUUCCGAAAUCUUACUAGAGAGGGAGAUUACGAAGAGGAGGCCCAGCGUUUCCUGAGGAGAGCUUAUUCCUCUUUGCCCAGGAAGAAAUCAAUUUCCAGCCUGCAGUGUAAUUUUAAAAAAUGAUCCAUUGGAUCUGAUAGAAAAAUGUUAACUAUUUUAUUAAACCAGAAGAUGGUAACUGUG